rnacentral:rRNA from 1 species
GACCCCAGGUCAGGCGGGAUCACCCGCUGAGCUUAAGCAUAUCAAUAAGCGGAGGAAAAG